CAGCAGCAGCCGCGGUAAUACGUAGGUCCCGAGCGUUGUCCGGAUUUAUUGGGCGUAAAGCGAGCGCAGGCGGUUAGAUAAGUCUGAAGUUAAAGGCUGUGGCUUAACCAUAGUACGCUUUGGAAACUGUUUAACUUGAGUGCAAGAGGGGAGAGUGGAAUUCCAUGAGUAGCGGUGAAAUGCGUAGAUAUAUGGAGGAACGCCGGUGGCGAAAGCGGCCCUCUGGCUUGUAACUGACGCUGAGGCUCGAAAGCGUGGGGAGCAAACAGGAUUAGAUACCCGAGUAGUCCCUGUCUCUUAUACA
rnacentral:rRNA from 1 species